UGGGGAAUAUUGCACAAUGGGCGCAAGCCUGAUGCAGCGACGCCGCGUGGGGGAUGACGGCCUUCGGGUUGUAAACUCCUUUCGCUAGGGACGAAGCUUCUUGUGACGGUACCUAGAUAAGAAGCACCGGCUAACUACGUGCCAGCAGCCGCGGUAAUACGUAGGGUGCGAGCGUUGUCCGGAAUUACUGGGCGUAAAGGGCUCGUAGGUGGUUUGUCGCGUCGUCUGUGAAAUUCCGGGGCUUAACUCCGGGCGUGCAGGCGAUACGGGCAUAACUUGAGUACUGUAGGGGUAACUGGAAUUCCUGGUGUAGCGGUGAAAUGCGCAGAUAUCAGGAGGAACACCGAUGGCGAAGGCAGGUUACUGGGCAGUUACUGACGCUGAGGAGCGAAAGCAUGGGUAGCGAACAGG
rnacentral:rRNA from 1 species